AUUGAACGCUGGCGGCAGGCCUAACACAUGCAAGUCGAACGAGUGGCGGACGGGUGAGUAAUGUCUGGGAAUCUGCCCGAUGGAGGGGGAUAACUACUGGAAACGGUAGCUAAUACCGCAUACCAUCAGAUGUGCCCAUAUGGGAUUAGCUUGUUGGUGGGGUAAAGGCUCACCUAGGCGACGAUCCCUAGCUGGUCUGAGAGGAUGAUCAGCCACACGGGAACUGAGACACGGCCCAGACUCCUACGGGAGGCAGAAGUGGGGAAUAUUGCACAAUGGGCGCAAGCCUGAUGCAGCCAUGCCGCGUGUAUGAAGAAGGCCUUCGGGUUGUAAAGUACUUUCAGCGGGGAGGCGUUACCCGCAGAAGAAGCACCGGCUAACUCCGUGCCAGCAGCCGCGGUAAUUC
rnacentral:rRNA from 1 species